rnacentral:rRNA from 1 species
GGUCAAACUACCCUCUGGACUGGGAUACCCUCGGGAAACUGAGGUCAAUCCCGGAUACUGCUUCCGUGUUGGAACACAGGAAGCUGGAAACGGUCCGCCGCCGGAGGACGUGACUGCGGCUGAUUAGGUAGACGGUGGGGUAACGGCCCACCGUGCCGAUAAUCAGUACGGGUUGUGAGAGCAAGAGCCCGGAGACGGAAUCUGAGACAAGAUUCCGGGCCCUACGGGGCGCAGCAGCCGCGAAACCUUUACACUGCACGCCAGUGCGAUAAGGGGAUCCCGAGUGCGAGGGCAUACAGUCCUCGCUUUUCGCGACCGUAAGGUGGUCGCAGAAUAAGGGCUGGGCAAGACCGGUGCCAGCCGCCGCGGUAAUACCGGCAGCCCGAGUGAUAGCCAAUUUUAUUGGGCCUAAAGCGUCCGUAGCUGGCCGAACAGGUCCGUCGGGAAAUCCACCCGCUUAACGGGUGGGCGUCCGGCGGAAACCAGUCGGCUUGGGGCCGAGAGACCAAAGGGGUACGUCCGGGGUAGGAGUGAAAUCCUGUAAUCCUGGACGGACCACCGGUUGCGAAAGCGCCUUUGGAGAACGGACCCGACAGUGAGGGACGAAAGCUAGGGUCUCGAACCGGAUUAGAUACCCGGGUAGUCCUAGCCGUAAACGAUGCUCGCUAGGUGUGACGCAGGCUACGAGCCUGCGUUGCGCCGUAGGGAAGCCGAGAAGCGAGCCGCCUGGGAAGUACGUCCGCAAGGAUGAAACUUAAAGGAAUUGGCGGGGGAGCACUA